rnacentral:rRNA from 1 species
AACGAACGCUGGCGGCAUGCCUAACACAUGCAAGUCGAACGGGAUCCUGGUUUCGGCCAGGUGAGAGUGGCGGACGGGUGAGUAACGCGUGGGAACCUGCCCAGUGGUGGGGGAUAACUGCGGGAAACUGCAGCUAAUACCGCAUGAGCCCGAAAGGGGAAAGAUUGAUCGCCAUUGGAGGGGCCCGCGUUCGAUUAGGUAGUUGGUGAGGUAACGGCUCACCAAGCCUUCGAUCGAUAGCUGGUCUGAGAGGAUGAUCAGCCACACUGGGGACUGAGAUACGGCCCAGACUCCUACGGGAGGCAGCAGGUGGGGAAUAUUGCGCAAUGGCCGCAAGGCUGACGCAGCGACGCCGCGUGUGGGAUGACGGUCUUCGGAUUGUAAACCACUGUCGAGGGGGAAACGAAUACAGGGCUUCGAU